CCAUAGCAGCAACAUGACUUCAGCUGACCCAACGGCAGAUAUUACUCACACACUACCCAGAUUGCGACACAAUUCCAACCAAGGGAUUUUUAAACAGGGGAAGAACAAGAAAAUGAACCAAGCGCUGUAACCCCGUGCUUUUAGAGAUUCCUACUAACCAAACUAAAACCGUAGAUAUUAGAACACCAGUACACCAGAGGACAGGCCUAUGUAUCGUAAACAGGAUGUGAAGAGUUAAAAGAGGGUUUUUCCACCGACCACGCGCUCUCACCCACACAGUCCGUGCAACAGCUGUGGAGAACUAGACUGUAACCGUCUGAAGUCUACUGCAUCGCAACGCAGGCUCAGUGUGGUGUGUCUACUGCUGUCCGGACCCAAAGGAACCAGCUCCUUCAGCUGCUCGAGGUACAGCCGUAGUUUGGCACGUCUGUAACACAAACAACCAGAGGUGGAGAGUGGUGAGGAGGCUAUAUCUCAUCCUGCCAGACUCAUGGCAACGCUGGCCAAGAAAAACCCACACAGGUGUUCUAAGAAAGACGUCGUAACGUGAGUCGACCGCCCCCAAAACUGAGGGGCAUGUCACACGGCCAAGGCAUCUUCAGAACCAAAAUGGCCGCUCUGUGUGUAUAUUGUACUGCAGUGUACGGCCUUCAGAGAGAAAAAAACCAUUGACCCAAGGGGCCCCAGAUGCCAACGCCCCAAAAUGACCACCUAACCACAGCCACACCAGUCAACACAGAAAAGCACUCGAUAAUUUGAUGACAGUCGCUUGAGUGAUGUGUGGUAAAAUUAACAAAUGUAAAAGUACUUGACGCUACACUGGAUAUGGGCUGUGUCCGACAGCGUGGCAUGUUACUGCAGCAGAAGAGAACAGAAACCAGUUGCAUGAGGUUUCUGCAUGAUGCAAAUUGAUAUAAACCUACUGUUAUUGACUCAACACUGGUUAUGUCCUAGUGGGAUCAGAUCCGAGCACUCUUAUCCUAUACUACUCCUAUAGUCAAUUUGUGUCCUAGUGGGAUCAGAUCCUCCACGCCUAUCCUAUAGUCAAUUUGUGUCCUAGUGGGAUCAGAUCCUCCACUCCUAUCCUAUACUACUCCUAUAGUCAGUUUGUGUCCUAGUGGGAUCAGAUCCUCCACUCCUAUCCUAUACUACUCCUAUAGUCAGUUUGUGUCCUAGUGGGAUCAGAUCCUCCACUCCUAUUAUAUACUACUCCUAUAGUCAGUUUGUGUAACUCUUUUCAUAGCUACUUUUAUCCCAUUUUGUCCAAUAUAUAGACUUGUAUAUAGACUUCCUAUUGUGUUAUUGACUGUACGUUUGUUUAUUCCAUGUCUAACUCUGUGUUGUUUGUGUAGCACUGCUUUGCUUUAUCUUGGCCAGGUCGCAGUUGUAAAUGAGAACUUGUUCUCAACUAGCCUACCUGGUUAAAUAAAGGUGAAAUACAAAAUAAAUAAAAUGCCUUAUGUUUUCUAGGAUAAUGCAUGAAGCCUUUCUAUGUCCUAGCUAGGCUUCCUUCCUUCCUCUCCUCCAGUUCUCCAUGUGAACAGUAAACUGGUUCUAACUGCAGACUGCCUCCAGUCUGUCCUCAGGUCAUCCCUCCAUUACAAUCAGUCUAAUCACAGACAGGCUGCUAGCUCUCUGGCUGAGGAGCCCAGCACACCUGGGUCUGUUGUGAACACGCACACACAGCUGCACGCACACACAUGUGCAUGUACACAC